AAUUAGAGCCUCAUACAUAUUCAUGUUGUUUAAUCCACACUCCAAGAGCGCUGCUCCCCCCAGCCCUCCCCUCGUCCCCCACCCCCAGCCGGGAAGGAUGGGAAGUUUCCUUUCCUUUCACAUUAGACUGAAAUCAAAUAUUUGAUGUGGCCAUAAUUAAAGGGAUGCGCACAUCUGAGAGUGGGAUUGGAGUGCUCUGCGGAUCCCCAAAACUGGGUCACUGGGUGCCAGAGUGAGUUUUGCAAGGCCUUUUGCUGGACUCCUCUCUGCAGUCCCCAGGCUCUGCUGCCCAGCUCAGAGGAGCGGCAGGGAACCAAGUGAUGGAUUCUCAGGCAGUCUUGCCUCUCUGUACUGAUCGCAAGGAGCAGGAGACCCUGCUGCUGUUUGCACUAUGCCAUGGAUUUAACCCCAAUGGGAUCAGGCCUUCCAGUCGCCUAACUAUCAACACCAGGGUUUGAUCCUCCGGGGGUAUAAGUCAGGACAGCUCCAAUGAAUCACAUGGAGGGACGCCAGUUUCCACCAGCAGAGCCCCGGCCCUCCUUCCCACGAGGGAGUCAUUAAGGAUUGAUCAGGCCCAUCCAACCAACUCCAAAUGGCCUUUAAACAUGCGAUCGAGUGUGCAGAAGAGCACCCUGCGGGAGAUGAGACUCGGGUGCUGGCAGGCCUCAUUUACCGCCAACGGAAGAAGAAAACCAGCAUCAGCAAUUUUGACCCACAAUGAACAACAAACUCGCUCUCCAACUCCCAUUUGUGAAACAAGCCCUGGCCAGCUUGGCGCUCGCUCCCUUCUCCUUUGUGACACAGGAGAGGAACGACUCCCUGGCCAGUGCAUUAGAAAGAGAUAUAAACCCUUCAGAGACUAGUGGUGCGGUACAUUAUCCCAGGCACUCUCAAAACACAGCGGCUCAUGACAGAAAUUCAGCCCUUUGUGAGUCCUGAACUCUCUUUGCACAGAAGCUCUUUCCAAUGUCCUGUUGAAACAGAAACAAUUACUACAUAAUUGUGGGAGUAGAGACUGGAACAGUGGUUGUGUAGCUCCAAUAGCAUGGCCCUCUGCCACUUAAGCUAAAGCAGAACUGCCCUAGGUAGUCCUGGCCCAAGGCCCUUUAUCCUGCCUGUAAACUAGACACUGGAGGGUCACACACACACACACACACACACACACACACACACACACACACUACUUGCUGAAAAAUAGGUCUUUUGACUUGGGUUCUCCCGAAUAGGAGGCUUGCAUCUUCCUAUUGCCUGGUGGACCAGAUGGAAAAAAACAGUGCCCCCCCUUGGCUGUAAAUUUGAUAUUAUGACACUUUGCAUUUGUGGGCCAGAUCUGUCAAUGGACCUAGCCCGCUUCACACCAGCCAAGGAUCUGUCCUGGGAACCCAAAGCACUUUGCAAACAUUAAAUCAUUCUCAUGGCAUUAGGUAAGAAACGUUUCAUAUGCGUUAUCUUCGUCGAAUCUUUGGAAUCUCCUGGAGGGACAGAGUCACCAACACUGAGGUGCUCAAACGGGCCACCAUACCCAGCAUGCAAACACUCUUCAAACAGAGACGCCUCCGCUGGCUUG
rnacentral:lncRNA from 1 species